CCUACGGGGGGCAGCAGUAGGGAAUAUUGCUCAAUGGGGGAAACCCUGAUGCAGCAACGCCGCGUGGAGGAUGAAGGUUUUCGGAUUGUAAACUCCUUUUGUUAGAGAAGAUAAUGACGGUAUCUAACGAAUAAGCACCGGCUAACUACGUGCCAGCAGCCGCGGUAAUACGGAGGGUGCAAGCGUUACUCGGAAUCACUGGGCGUAAAGAGCGCGUAGGCGGGAUAGCAAGUCAGAUGUGAAAUCCUAUGGCUUAACCAUAGGACUGCAUUUGAAACUGUUAUUCUAGAGUAUGGGAGAGGUAGGUGGAAUUCUUGGUGUAGGGGUAAAAUGCGUAGAGAUCAAGAGGAAUACUCAUGGCGAAGGCGACCUGCUAGAACAUGACUGACGCUGAGGCGCGAAAGCGUGGGGAGCAAACAGGAUUAGAUACCCGGGUAGUC
rnacentral:rRNA from 1 species